rnacentral:SRP_RNA from 1 species
GCGGGGUGUGGUGGCACGUGCCUGUGGUCCCAGCUACUCGGGAGGCUGAGGUGGGGGGAUCACUUGAGCCCAGGAGUUCUGGGCUGUAAGGCGCUAUGCCGAUCGGGUGUCUGCACUAAGUUCGGCGUCAAUAUGGUGACCUCCCGGGAGCGGGGGACCACCAGGUUACUUAAGGAGGGGUGAACUGGCCCAGCUUGGAAAUGGAGCAGGCCAAAACUCCAGUGCUGAUCAGUAGUAGGAUCUCUCCUUUGAAUAGCCACUGCAUUCCAGCCUGGGCAACACAGUGAGACCCUGUCUCU